rnacentral:lncRNA from 1 species
CUAGCUACUGUCAUCCAUCCCUUUGUAGCUCUGACCUCCUCCGAUCUCCCAUCAUUGAUCGCACUCAAGUUGACCUCCUCCUUUGAUCUCCUACCUUUCGUCACAACCCCUUUCUUCACCAUUUCCUUCAUCUUUCGAACCACCACAUGCCCCACCGCAUGACAUCUCCCCUUCUUCCUUUCCUUUUCACCCUUCGACCCACCCUCACAGCCCCCACCCUCAUCGACCGGUCUCACAUCGUUUCCCCCUCGCACCCUCUAUAGACGCACUCCCAUAACCACCCCCAUCUGUGCUGCAUCCCUCAUCGCAACCAUCCUUUCCCCUACCACAUCCC